rnacentral:rRNA from 1 species
GAGUUUGAUCCUGGCUCAGAAUGAACGUUGGCGGCGUGGAUUAGGCAUGCAAGUCGAACGGGCCGCAAGGCCAGUGGCGCAAGGGUGAGUAAGGCGACGGUAACCAACCCCGCGGGUGGGCAUAGCCGAGGGAAACUUCGGGUAAUUCCCAGCGAUCCGACGAGCCGGCAUCGGCUUGUCGGCAAAGAUUUAUCGCCGCGGGACGGGCCGUCGUGGUAUUAGCUUGUUGGCGGGGUGACGGCCCACCAAGGCUGCGAUGCCUACCGGGCGUGCGAGCGUGGCCCGGCACACUGGGACUGAGACACUGCCCAGACUCCUACGGGAGGCUGCAGUCGAGAAUCUUCGGCAAUGGGCGCAAGCCUGACCGAGCGACGCCGCGUGGAGGAUGAAGGCCUUCGGGUUGGUAAACUACCUGUCGAGGGGGAGGGAAGGCGCAAGCUUGACCGAUCCCUGGAGGAAGCACGGGCUAAGUUCGUGCCAGCCGCCGCCGU